rnacentral:rRNA from 1 species
AACGAACGCUGGCGGCAGGCUUAACACAUGCAAGUCGAACGCCCCGCAAGGGGAGUGGCAGACGGGUGAGUAACGCGUGGGAAUCUACCCAGAUCUUCGGAACAACUGAGGGAAACUUCAGCUAAUACCGGAUACGCCCUACGGGGGAAAGAUUUAUCGGUUCUGGAUGAGCCCGCGUUGGAUUAGCUAGUUGGUGGGGCAAUGGCCUACCAAGGCGACGAUCCAUAGCUGGUCUGAGAGGAUGAUCAGCCACACUGGGACUGAGACACGGCCCAGACUCCUACGGGAGGCAGCAGUGGGGAAUAUUGGACAAUGGGCGAAAGCCUGAUCCAGCCAUGCCGCGUGAGUGAUGAAGGCCUUAGGGUUGUAAAGCUCUUUCAGUGGGGAAGAUAAUGACGGUACCCACAGAAGAAGCCCCGGCUAACUUCGUGCCAGCCGCCGCAGUAACAC